rnacentral:misc_RNA from 1 species
GUGAAUCAUCAAAUCUUUGAACGCAAAUUGCACUUUCUGGUAUUCCGGAACGUAUGUCUGUUUGAGGGUCUGUUAAACAACAUUCGGUGUUGUUGCUGCUUUUCGUGGUGACGCGUCGGAAUUGAGUUGUCUUUCUUUAGGUUAAGUGCUUUAAAUUUUUGCAUGAUUUUAGAACGUAUUUAAAUUUCUUAUGUACGUUUCAGAUAUCGAAUCCUUUAUUAGGUUAGGUCACCCUCAUGAUGCGCCCCUAUAAUUUUUCUUUAUA